rnacentral:tRNA from 1 species
GGAGGAGUUCCCGAGUGGUCAAAGGGGACAGACUGUAAAUCUGCUGCUUCGGCUUCGGUGGUUCGAAUCCACCCUCCUCCACCA